AUUUCAUUAGUAAAAGUUAAUUAUAUUAUCUUGAUGAGGUAAAGUUGGAUGAAAUAA
rnacentral:tRNA from 1 species